rnacentral:rRNA from 1 species
AUUGAACGCUGGCGGCAUGCCUUACACAUGCAAGUCGAACGGCAUCGCGGGAAAGCUUGCUUUCCUGGCGGCGAGUGGCGAACGGGUGAGUAACACAUCGGAACGUACCGGCUAGUGGGGGAUAACCCGUCGAAAGACGGGCUAAUACCGCAUACGCUCUUCGGAGGAAAGCAGGGGACCUUUGGGCCUUGCGCUAGUCGAGCGGCCGAUGUCCGAUUAGCUAGUUGGUGGGGUAAAGGCCUACCAAGGCGACGAUCGGUAGCGGGUCUGAGAGGACGAUCCGCCACACUGGGACUGAGACACGGCCCAGACUCCUACGGGAGGCAGCAGUGGGGAAUCUUGGACAAUGGGGGCAACCCUGAUCCAGCAAUGCCGCGUGGGUGAAGAAGGCCUUCGGGUUGUAAAGCCCUUUCGGCAGGGAAGAAAUCGGCGGGGCGAAUCACCCUGCUGGAUGACGGUACCUGCAGAAGAAGCACCGGCUAACUACGU